CUUUUUCACGCUUUGGAGCGGCCGAAAGUCCCCUUACAGUGGUGGUCGACUCGUCUCGUCACCUCCGCCCAGAAUCUCAGACCGCAACCAGGAGAAGACGUACUAUAAUACCCAAGAGAGAGACUUGAAAAUUGGUCUGGUCUGAAGAUUUGAUGCUGUGGAGCAAUGUUCAAGGUUUCUUGAUGGAUAUUUAGAUCUAUCUAAGCUCUGGAACACGUGUAAGAGCGUCUUGUCUCUGUGUCUGGUCCUUGCAUAUUGCAUAAGUAAAUACAAUUUUAGUAAAGAAUGAGAAAAUCUUGUUGAAGUUA